rnacentral:rRNA from 1 species
GAUGAACGCUAGCUACAGGCUUAACACAUGCAAGUCGAGGGACCGGCGCACGGGUGAGUAACACGUAUUCAACCUGCCCUUUACUCGGGGAUAGCCUUUCGAAAGAAAGAUUAAUACCCGAUGUAAAGGAUGGGGAUGCGUUCCAUUAGGUUGUUGGUGAGGUAACGGCGCACCAAGCCUUCGAUGGAUAGGGGUUCUGUGAGGAAGGUCCCCCACAUUGGAACUGAGACACGGUCCAAAGUCCUACGGAGGGCAGCAGUGAGGGAAAUUGGUCAAUGGGCGUUAGCCUGAACCAGCCAAGUGGCGUGAAGGAUGAAGGCAUAUGAGUCGUAAACUUCUUUUAUAUAAGAAUAUGUAUUAUAUGAAUAAGGAUCGGCUAACUCCGAGCCAGCAGCCGCGGUAAUA